GACAUUUUAUCUAUAUAAUAUAAGUAUAUACUUUGAAAGUAUAAAAAAGAUAAAUCUAAAUGUCU
rnacentral:tRNA from 1 species